rnacentral:rRNA from 1 species
GAAGGGCAGUGGAGACAUUGUCCUUCAGUUAGGCUGGCCCCAGAACAGGUGCUGCAUGGCUGUCGUCAGCUCGUGUCGUGAGAUGUUGGGUUAAGUCCCGCAACGAGCGCAACCCUCGCCCUUAGUUGCCAGCAUUUAGUUGGGCACUCUAAGGGGACUGCCGGUGAUAAGCCGAGAGGAAGGUGGGGAUGACGUCAAGUCCUCAUGGCCCUUACGGGCUGGGCUACACACGUGCUACAAUGGUGGUGACAGUGGGCAGCGAGACAGCGAUGUCGAGCUAAUCUCCAAAAGCCAUCUCAGUUCGGAUUGCACUCUGCAACUCGAGUGCAUGAAGUUGGAAUCGCUAGUAAUCGCAGAUCAGC